GAAAAAGUUCCUGACAAUGGCACUGAAAGAAUUCACGGCUGAAUUUGAGGACCGUGGGUCUUUGGUGCCAUCUUCAGUAACUUAAUA
rnacentral:pre_miRNA from 1 species